rnacentral:rRNA from 1 species
GUGCCAAUACUGCAAGUCGAACGUCUCUGGUAUUGAAUGGUGCUGCAUCAUGAUUUACAUUUGAGUGAGUGGCGAACUGGUGAGUAACACGUGGGAAACCUGCCCAGAAGCGGGGGAUAACACCUGGAAACAGAUGCUAAUACCGCAUAACAACUUGGACCGCAUGGUCCGAGCUUGAAAGAUGGCUUCGGCUAUCACUUUUGGAUGGUCCCGCGGCGUAUUAGCUAGAUGGUGGGGUAACGGCUCACCAUGGCAAUGAUACGUAGCCGACCUGAGAGGGUAAUCGGCCACAUUGGGACUGAGACACGGCCCAAACUCCUACGGGAGGCAGCAGUAGGGAAUCUUCCACAAUGGACGAAAGUCUGAUGGAGCAACGCCGCGUGAGUGAAGAAGGGUUUCGGCUCGUAAAACUCUGUUGUUAAAGAAGAACAUAUCUGAGAGUAACUGUUCAGGUAUUGACGGUAUUUAACCAGAAAGCCACGGCUAACUACGUGCCAGCAGCCGCGGUAAUACGUAGGUGGCAAGCGUUGUCCGGAUUUAUUGGGCGUAAAGCGAGCGCAGGCGGUUUUUUAAGUCUGAUGUGAAAGCCUUCGGCUCAACCGAAGAAGUGCAUCGGAAACUGGGAAACUUGAGUGCAGAAGAGGACAGUGGAACUCCAUGUGUAGCGGUGAAAUGCGUAGAUAUAUGGAAGAACACCAGUGGCGAAGGCGGCUGUCUGGUCUGUAACUGACGCUGAGGCUCCAAAGUAUCCGUAGCAAAC